rnacentral:lncRNA from 1 species
CAGCUGGAAGAGACAUUUGGUUGAGUCAGGGAUAAAAUCACCUCCAAAUUAUCCAUCACCUUGGCAAUCCCUUCAUGAGGCUGUGAGCUUUGAGGCACAAGCAUGCAGACCGGGCUUCCCCGAGCGCUGGCCGCCCUGGGCGUGGCCCUACUCCUGUCUUCUAUUGAGGCAGAAGUGUGCUGUCCACACUGCCACCAACACUGCUGCCUUCCUUGAGGAUCAGUUCCCUGAAUAGGGCAACAGCUCUGUCAAGAGGAUCCCAGACGUCUGGCCACGAGGAACCUCAGAAUAUGGACAUCCUUACAGGAUCAGCAGCUGAUCACCUGGGUCAGGACUGUGACCUUAGUGACAAGAAGAAAUAAAAGACUCCAACACUGCCA